AGCUUGCUCUUGAUGACGAGUGGCGCACGGGUGAGUAACGCGUAUGCAAUCUACCUAUAACUGAGGAAUAGCCCAGAGAAAUUUGGAUUAAUACUUCAUAAUAUUAUUAUUUGGCAUCAUUUAAUAAUUAAAACUCCGGUGGUUAUAGAUGAGCAUGCGUUCUAUUAGCUAGUUGGUGAGGUAAGAGCUCACCAAGGCUACGAUAGAUAGGGGGCCUGAAAGGGUGAUCCCCCACACUGGUACUGAGACACGGACCAGACUCCUACGGGAGGCAGCAGUGAGGAAUAUUGCACAAUGGAGGAAACUCUGAUGCAGCCAUGCCGCGUGCAGGAUGAAGGCCCUAUGGGUUGUAAACUGCUUUUUUACAAGAAGAAACCUUGGUACGUGUACCAACCUGACGGUAUUGUAAGAAUAAGCACCGGCUAACUCCGUGCCAGCAGCCGCGGUAAUACGGAGGGUGCAAGCGUUAUCCGGAUUUAUUAGGUUUAAAGGGUUCGCAGGCGGAAUUUUAAGUCAGUGGUGAAAGCCUA
rnacentral:rRNA from 1 species